AGCACGCAGGGCCCAAUCCCCAGGGCCUGGGCCACCAGCGCUGGGACCAGCAAACACCAUCAGGACCUGGAACCUCGGGGACUCCAGUCUGGUGCACACCUCUAAGCAAAACCAUUUGUUUUGUGGGUUCAGAAAACUACAAGCAAAGAAGGGUCCAUCCCUGGCUGUGUGGAUGCUGAGCUCACUUAACAGGACACCUGCUAACUGUGAUCCUGUUUUCCUCUAAAACGAGCUGCUAAUUUCCUAAAGGAGUUUCUGAAACACUGCAGAGGAUUUUAUGAAAGAAAGAAGAGCCUGAGAGAGACCAAACGAAGCAGGAGGGGCCAAAGAUUCUCCAGACGGAACAAGAGGAAGCCUCAGAGUGCAGAUGCAGCCUGACGCAGAGAUGGGAGGCCUCUCCAGGGCGUGUGAGAGUGGGAGAACCUGGGCGACCUCCAAGAGGGGCCCAGCAAGCCGCUGGAGCAGGGGCACUGGAUUGUGGCAUCCAGGAGGUGGGCCUAGGCAGCCUUCCAGAGCCACUGCACACACCUGAGAAGCUGCCCGGAGGAGGCAGGCCUCCGACAACCCCCAGGUUCCCAAAGACGGGAGGGGUUUCAGAACGCAGAACAAGAGGCGGAAAGCGGCAGCCCAGGAAGACACACCUGAAGAGGCCUGCGCCUAGGGUCACCCACCAACAACGGCGCCCAGACAGCUUUCCAGAGGCACACCUGUAAGAGCUGGUUUUAUUUAGGUCUUACCGUGUGCCAGACACUGUUCCAAGCACUGGGCAGUACUUUCCUUGGGACGGACAAGGGAGGAGCAGGAUCCUCCUUAGGUAUCUGCUCUCAGGACUAGAAUCUUGCUGAUCUGGGACAAUCCCUCUCGGUGUCUGGCUUAUGUCUUGAGACAAAAGGUGACAGUUCCCAAGGCCAGGAAUGUCUGAGAGCUGGGCAAAAACCCUGCUUUGGAGUGCAGGGAAGGAUGGAGCCUUGGGGCCAAUGGUAAGGGGCAGAGGGGCAGUGCUCCUGUCUAACCCUUGCUCCCAGAGGGAGGGCCACAGGGGGCUCCUCAGACCAGCCACCUUUCCCAAGUCCCCUCCUGGUCCAGAGGCGCGAGGCCCACCAAGAUCAGCACUGCUUCCGUCACAGUUGCUCAUGGUGACAGGAAUCCUCUGUGACGAUUGGCAACACUCUCACGUUCCUAGACACAGAUACAGACAUAUCACAGGCAUAAAACCUGACACCCAUUCCUUUCCAUGGGCCACCAAGUGACUGCUGAGUGUCAGAAUUGCCAAGAGUUUCUAUUAAAACUGUACUGACGUCACUGAUUUUUUUAAAAAAUGAAAAUUUUAGUGAUAUUAAAUAUUUUGAUGUUGAUUGUUGAAAUGUAUUAAUUAAAAUGUGUAUUUUUA